rnacentral:rRNA from 1 species
AUGAUCCGUGCUCAGGAUGGGCCACCUUCACCGCAGGAUAUCUCGAGGAGGGUGCAUGUGGCGGGUAGGGCGAUGCUACCGACAAAUAUGCUCAAUGCUGCAACCGGUGCUAUGCGGAGUCUGCAAGACAGUGUUCUUUCUUUGGAGAAGCGGCGUCUCAGAGAGAAGGAUGUGGCAUACCCGGUUUUCGCGGCCAAGGUGCCAGAGGGCAAGGGCUUUGUGGAUAACUCCAUCGGGCGUACGAUCAUCCUGCGUUUUGAUGACAUCCACGCUAUGUUGAACCUUCAUCCGCUGCACUACACCUUCGUUCGGCUAUUUUCGCUGAGUAUGGAGAUGCGGAUCAUUCGCGACAAGACCCCGGACAUUGUGAUAGUCGACCCCUUCUACAUGCGUGCCAAGAUCUUGGGCAGCGCUGGGGACCGGCAAGUCGCGAGUUCUUACCUCGAAGGCGUCAUUCUGGCAAACCAAGAUAAGGAUAACUUCCUCGUGCCUUACUUUCCCGAGUAA